GACGAACGCUGGCGGCGUGCCUAAUACAUGCAAGUCGAGCGCUGAAGGUUGGUACUUGUACCAACGGGAGGAGCAGCGAACGGGUGAUUAACGUGUGUGGAAUCUGCCUUUGAGCGGGUUACAAUAUUUCGAAACGAGUGCUUAUACGGCAUAAAAACUUUAAUCACAAGUUUUAAGUGUCAAAGUUGCAAUUUCAUCACGCAAAUGUGAUCCCGCGUUGUAUUAGCUAGGUGGUGAGGUAAAGGCUCACCAAGGCGUUGAUACAUAGCCGACCUGCGAGGGUGAGUGGCCUCAUUGGGAGUGAGACACGGCCCAACACACUAGGGGUGGCAGCCGUAGGGAACCCCCGGGAAUGGAAGAAAGUGUGAGCGAGACACGCUGCGUGAGUGAAGAAGGUUUCCGGAUCGUAAAAAUCUGUUGGUAGUGAAGAACGUGGGUGAGAGUGGAAAGCUAAGAAAGUGACGGUAACUAGCCAGAAAGGGACGGCUAACUACGUG
rnacentral:rRNA from 1 species